GGGGGGGGGGGGGGGGGUGGUUGGGGGGUGGGGGGGGGGGGGGGGGGGCCGGGUGUGGGGGGGUGGUGGGGGGGGGAACGGGUGAGUGGCGGGGGAGUGACCGGCCCUUGACUGUGGGAUAACGUCAGGAAGGUGGGGCGAAUGCCGGCUAGGAGCUCCUGCUGCAUGGUGGGGGUUGGAAAGUUUCGGCGGUGGGGGAUGGACUCGCGGCUUAUGAACGUUGUGGUGGGGUAGUGGCUUACCAAGGCUUUGACGGGUCGCCGGCCGUGGAGGGUGACCGGCCACAUUGGGACUGAGAUACGGCCGAGACUCCUACGGGAGGCAGCAGUGGGGAAUAUUGCACAAUGGGCGGAAGCCUGAUGCAGCAACGCCGCGUGCGGGAUGACGGCCUUCGGGUUGUAAACCGCUUUCGCCUGUGACGAAGCGUGAGUGACGGUAAUGGGUAAAGAAGCACCGGCUAACUACGGG
rnacentral:rRNA from 1 species